UGGGAGGCUGGCGGCGGACGAGAUCCUCGCCAACCCGGUCAGGUCCGAAAGGAAGCAGCCGUAACGAGUUCUUUCUUGGGUCGUUUGUCAGUCUCUCACCU
rnacentral:SRP_RNA from 1 species